rnacentral:lncRNA from 1 species
GAGACUCUGACAGUGGUGGUGGCAUCGGCGCCACUCGUAGUAGGAGGCCGCACGACAGCAGCGGUGCUCGCGAGAGGAGGAGGCCCCGGCGACAGUGGCGGCAUCAUCUCGCGGCCAGAAUUAGCGACGCUCAAUGCAGAGGGCUUAAGAAUCCAUUGUGGGUGCCCUACCGAAGAGCACAAGCUAGCUAACAAGGACUGA